rnacentral:misc_RNA from 1 species
ACCAUGUGUUGUAUGAUGAGAAUCGCUUCACUGCUGAUGGAUUGCAAAUUCUGACUAACAAUCUCUGUUAUACGUAAUUUUUUAACAUCCUUUUUCCGUCAACCAGUUUCUCUAGUGCUAUGUAGAAAUUUUUUUUCUUUUCUAUUAUCAUGAUUUUGGCAUCCUUUUGACUGAUGACUUGUUUAACUGUUCAAACAUUUUCAGUUAUGCAAGGUGUACUCGAUCUGUUUCCAUAGGUUUGACUCCUGUCCGUUAAUUACCCACUCUAUUAAUUUUUAUUUACUGUUUUCUUCCACUAGAAUGUUGAUGGUUAAAUGUUUUAAAUUAUGCAGUCCCUCCUGCCUAUUAUGCCCAUUUAGCUGCUUUUCGGGCUCGAUAUUACAUUGAGGGCGAAACAUCAGAUGGUGGAUCUUCAAGCGGACGGAGUACAACAGCGAGGAGUAGGGAGUUCCAACCUCUUCCUGUGAUCAAAGAUAAUGUGAAAGAUGUUAUGUUUUAUUGCUGAGAUUCCAACGUCCCAUUUUGUGUUCCCUCUUUUUUUUUGGCACAGUUUUUGCACAAAUGGCCAUUAGUCGUUGCAGUCUCGGUGCCUACCCUUAACCCAACUGAAUGAAACUGAUACUGUUACCUCUGGGUGUUCUUUUUGGCAAAUGGUAUUCGAGUUUAACUGUUAUUAUUUAUUUAGCUGAGGCUGGUUUUGGUUGUUGGGAUGGUGAGUGAAGCAACAUAGAUGCUUGGAAAAGUGAUUUCAUUUCCUUGUAAAUACUACUUUGCUUAAUGCUCAAUCUCUUAUCAUUAAAGUUCUUAUAAUUUUCAUUUUCAUCUGUUAUAAAUGUUGAUACCUUAGUGUUAGGGUCUCUGUCCUGCGUAGUACAGCUACUUUUAAAGGUAGGCUGAAAAAUAGGCUUGUGGUGUACCAAACAAUCAGAUGUUGGUGAAAGCGUUUU